rnacentral:ncRNA from 1 species
UAGGCAAAGUCUUCGAAAGAAGAUGACGCAAAGCUUUGAGUCUAAGGCGGAAUAUCUGCUAGGAUUGUCAGGCUGCAGA